rnacentral:rRNA from 1 species
CCCUUCGGGGGUGUAUAAAGUGGCGUAAGGGCGAGGAAUACGUUUCUACGUACCCCGAGGUCGAGGAUAGCCCAGGGAAACUUGGAGUAAUACUCGAUGUGGUCCUUCGGGAUCAAAGGCUUGCUGCCUUGGGAGCGGGGAACGUCCUAUCAGGUUGUUGGUGAGGUAACGGCUCACCAAGCCGAAGACGGGUAGCGGGUGUGAGAGCACGACCCGCCGCAUCGGGACUGAGACACUGCCCGGACUCCUACGGGAGGCUGCAGCAACGAAUCUUCCGCAAUGCGCGAAAGCGUGACGGAGCAAUGCCGCGUGCAGGAUGAAGCCCUUCGGGGUGUAAACUGCUGUCAGGGUUUAGCAACACAAUGAGCAGACCCAAAGGAAGGGCCGGCUAACUUCGUGCCAGCAGCCGCGGUAAUACGAAGGGCCCGAGCGUUGCGCGGAAUCACUGGGCUUAAAGCGUACGUAGGCGGACAAGCAGGUACUUUGUGAAAUCCCUCGGCUCAACCGAGGAAUUGCUUGGUAAACCGUUUGUCUUGAGGCAAGUAGGGGCUGUCGGAACGAUAGGUGGAGCGGUGAAAUGCGUUGAUAUCUAUCGGAACGCCAAAGGCGAAGGCAGACAGCUGGGCUUGUUCUGACGCUCAGGUACGAAAGCGUGGGGAGCGAACGGGAUUAGAUACCCCGGUAGUCCACGCCGUAAACGAUGUGCACUAGAUCGAGGGGACUCUGACGUCAUUCUCGGUCGAAGCAAAAGUGUUAGGUG